rnacentral:rRNA from 1 species
UACGGGGGGAGCAAGCGUUGUUCGGAUUUACUGGGCGUAAAGGGCGCGUAGGCGGCCAGCACAAGUCAGUUGUGAAAUCUCCGAGCUUAACUCGGAAAGGUCAACUGAUACUGUGCGGCUAGAGUGCGGAAGGGGCAACUGGAAUUCUUGGUGUAGCGGUGAAAUGCGUAGAUAUCAAGAGGAACACCUGCGGCGAAGGCGGGUUGCUGGGGAUGUGCCGACGCUGAGGCGCGAUAGCGUGGGGAGCGAACAGG